CACAAAAUUAGCCAACCUCAGUGAAUUUAAAAAACGUGCGCUCGUGAUCUCCACCCCGUGAGCAGUGAGCAAGGGAGUUUAGCAUGAUUCUUCAAUAAUUAGAGGGAAAAAAUCCCACCUUUUGCCGAGGCAUGGCACCCCAUGUAUAAAAGGAUGCAAUUUUUCUCACAAGAAAACUCCCUUUCAUUGUCAGUGACUCAGUCGCCCUAGACAAUUUCGCACUUUAACGGACAGAAAGACUAUUUUUUCCGAGAAAAUUUGUUUCAUUUUCUUGGCUUCUGUUUUUCCCUGUGGAAAGUGAGGUAGGAAAGGGCAAAGAUGUGGGGAUUCGGGGAAGAAAUUAUUGGGGAAGAAAGGAGAGAGGGAAAGUGGAAGGAAUGGUGGUGGUGCUUGCAUGGAUGUCCAGUCAGGACAGGCACUUGAAGAAAUAUGUUGAUCUUUAUUCCUCCCUUGGCUGGAAUUCCCUAGUUUGCCACUCCCAAUUCCUCAAUUUGUAAGCUCAAUUUCAUAUUUUCCCAUCAAUUUCACACUUGGGAUUCUGGUUCUGGUUCUGAUUUAUUAUUAUUAUUAUUAUUUAUUAUUUAUUUUUAACUUUGGUAUGUUUUCUGUUAUCUGAGUUGUCCCACAUGGGUGGGGAGCCUUGUGGAUGUCCUCCUACUUCAAUUCUAAAUUCUGGGUUUGUCGCUGAGCAAUGGAUAAGGUAGUUGGGGUUGAUAAGGUUCAUGAAUUUGAAUGUUUUGUUAAGUAUGCAUAGAAAGGAAAAUGAAUUUGAUGGAGCAUUAUAAUCAAUUUGUUGAAUAUUCUUGCCCCUUAAUGUAAUUUUGGUUGGUAGUGACACGCUGUAUAUUAAAUGUGCAGAAUAUCAUUUUGUAUUUCUGGUGGAAUUACUGUUCUACAUUAUGUUUCAUUCUAAGAUUGCAUUUAUUGUGACUUAGGAGAAACGAAAUGAAUGCUUAAACUAUUGGAUCUAUGAAUCUACAUGGAUGCUUGUUAUGAAUAAAUUUUGAUCUCAUUUUAAUGAAAAAUUAUCCUUGUAGUAUGAUUGUUCUUCAGCGAAUUUCGUAAGUUUGAAUGAUGAAUGCUGGUUUUUUGACAUCUCCAUGUCGCUUUUCAUGAUUUAUGCUAUGAAAAAUAAAUUCCCCUACCUUGCUAUAGGAAUGGACUAACAUUGUCUAUUUCUUAGAGGAAUUGGUAAACAUUUACAUCUGAUUCUAGGUCUGGUUUGCGUGUUUUAAGUAGAUGAAGAAAGUAAACUGGAUUGGCUAAAAUGCUGCUCCGUAUUAUCUUUCAGUCUAGGAUGAUGAAAUUUGAAAAAAGGUCUCAGCGUAUCUGUUACCUGGACACUGGGGAGAAAAGAAAACUAGUACUUUGCAGAACAUAUUGUCAAGGGAGCCCCUUUUCCAUAUGGAAAUUCAAACUUAUACUUUCACGAUCUCCAAUGGAUUAAUAAUGAACUUGCUUCAUAAAGAAUGUGGUAACAAGACACGGUCUUCUUGUUAUUGGACUCAAAUUCUUCUUAUGUUGAUCCACAUAUUCUCUAUUUGGAUACCUAUGUUGAUAUCUCAAGUAUGGACAGCAUACUAUCCUGAGAAAAUUAAAAGCAAAUUUUGACAUUAGAUUGGAAGGGAAAUUUGAUCAAUUUAAGUGCCACAUAGGAGACAAACUGUUACAAUUGCUUUUAAACUCAAGAUGAAUACUUGGGACGGACAUACAAUUUACCCAAAGCAUAUUCUAGUGUGUAAGUUUUAGUAACAUAUAAUUUAAUUCUCAAUUUUGUGGGGGUUAUGCUUACAGAUUCUUUCCUGAUAAAGCUGCAUCAUUGGCACUAGAAAUUGUCAGUGAUCUUGUUCAGGUUAGUCAUGAAUCGAAUCUACCUUAUCUAGCUCUUCUACACAGUGUCACAUCUAUGUUCACUCUCUCUAUUUAAAAAUCUCUUUGAAAAAUCAACUCAUGUUGUAUCUGCUACACAUCUUUUAGGCUAUAGUGCUCCUAAGAUUGAAAUUUUAGACCUGUUUAAAAGAUAAGAGCUUUUCUAAGAAACAAUGAGAAUCUGAUAUUUAUAAAUUGGUUCAAAUUUUCUGUUUUAUCUUAUGUGGAUUGACUUAAUCUUGGAGCAGCUUCUUUAACAUUAGUAAGAUAAAAUUGUUUAGAGACUGUGAUUGUCUUCAUUUUUCUGUCUCUUCUCCCAAAAGAAAAGGAAGUGAAAGGCUUGUUGGUUUAACGAGAUUAAAAUUUGUUGGGUUAGCGAUUAUUUUGAGUUAUUCUCACACUUAUGUUGAUUUUAUUUUCUUAUGAAGGAGCUAAAAAUCAGACCAUGGCCCGUUGUUUUUGCAUCUUUUUUCUGGUGGCCCAAAGGCUUGCAUGUAUAAGUUUCUUAAGGUGGAUAUCAUUCUACGGUGAAAAUGUUAAGAUUAGGUCCCUUUUGGUUGAGCUAAAAAUUUCAUAAAAAUCUAAAUCGAAGUCAAGAAUUAGUUUUAACCCCACUCUCAUGGACCCACAACUCUUGUUUACAUUUAAAUCACACAUUUCAACAACUUAUAUCGAGCUAAUAGUCCCAAUGGUCACUGAAGUUAUGUCUCCGUCUUCGAUUACUCAUUGAAAUUUAAAAUGUCAAUUUUUGGCCACUAAACUUAUCAAAACAUUGGACAUUACUCACUACCUUAACAUUUGUUUAAAUUCUUUGAUGGAAUUAGUGACGUGGCUAGCGAAAUAUACAUGUGAUGCCUCGUCACGCCAUUAACAAAUUGUUACGUCUUUGAUUGCUCAUCAAAUUUUGAAAAAUAUCUUUAAUUGUUUACUAAACUUUAAAAAACGUCUUCGAUUACUUACAAAACUUUGAAAAAUGUCUUUGAUUAAACUUUGAGGUGGCUGAAUUUUGGCCACUAAACUUAUAAAAAUGACGUUGACCUAUUGUUCAUUAAAAAAUAUGUAGCACAAUCGCGCAGGUCGCGUUAAAGUAAUAAAAUGGACAAACGAAUUCAAAUUGAC
rnacentral:lncRNA from 1 species